rnacentral:rRNA from 1 species
UACCCCUUUUAUGCAAGCGUUAUCCGGAAUUAUUGGGCGUAAAGCGUUUGUAGGCGGGCGAGUGUGUUUAAUGUUAAAUCUUAAAGCUCAACUUUGAAAUUGCGUUAAAAACUGCUUGUCUUGAGUAUGGUAGGGGUAAAGGGAAUUCCCAGUGUAGCGGUGAAAUGCGUAGAUAUUGGGAAGAACACUAAACAGCGAAGGCACUUUACUAGGCUAAUACUGACGCUGAGAAACGAAAGGUAAGGUAGCGAAACGGAUUAUAUACCCGUGUAGUCUUACCCGUAAACUAUGGACACUAAACGGUAAAUUUUUAAUUUACUGUUAAAGCUAACGCGUUAAGUGUCCCGCCUGGGAAGUAUGCUUGCAAAAGUGAAACUCAAAGGAAAUAGACGGGGGCCCGCACAAGCGGUGGAGCAUGUGGUUUAAUUCGACGGUACACGAAGAACCUUACCAGGAUUUGACAUGCUAGAUAGUUGCUUUGAAAGAGUAACGUGCCGUAAGGAAUCUAGACACAGGUGGUGCAUGGCUGUCGUCAGUUCGUGUUGUGAAAUGUUGGGUUAAGUCCCGCAACGAACGCAACCCUUGUCUUUAGUUAUUUUCUAAAGAGACUGCCUGUAAUAAACAGGAGGAAGGUAAGGAUGAGGUCAAGUCAUCAUGCCCCUUAUGUCCUGGGCUACACACGUGCUACAAUGGGAAAGACAAUGAGCUGCAAAUCUGUAAAUUUAAGCAAAUCUCUUAAACUUUCUCGUAGUUCGGAUUGUGGGCUGCAACUCGCCCACAUGAAGUUGGAAUCGCUAGUAAUCGAGAGUCAGCUAUAUGGCGGUGAAUCCGUUCCCGGGCCU